rnacentral:lncRNA from 1 species
GUUUGGCUUAGUUUUGUUUUUAAGUAGGUCAACAGUUGGGGUUGGACCCCUAACCCACCCUUACAGAAAAGUUUAUUAAAAAUGUUCUACGGCAAUGCUUUUGUCUGCACUAGUUACAAAGGUAAGCAAAGCAGCUAAGGUCUACUUGAGAAAAAAUCCAAGGUGUUGUUCGGCUUAGUUAUGUUUUUAAGUUGGUCCACAGUGGGGGUCUGACUCAGAAAAGUUAUUUAAAAAUGUUCUACGGCAAUACUUGUGUCUGCAC